rnacentral:tRNA from 1 species
GGCUGGGAUAGCUCAUUCGGUAGAGCACGAGACUCUGAAUCUCAGGGUUGUGGGUUUGAGUCCCACAUUGGACA